rnacentral:rRNA from 1 species
UACAGAGGUCUCAACCGUUGUUCGGAUUCACUGGGCGUAAAGGGCGCGUAGGCGGCGCGGGUAGUCAACGGUGAAAGCUUGGGGCUCAACCCCGAGUCGGCCGUCGAUACUCCCGUGCUUGAGCACUGUAGAGGCAGGUGGAAUUCCGGGUGUAGCGGUGGAAUGCGUAGAGAUCCGGAAGAACACCGGUGGCGAAGGCGGCCUGCUGGGCAGUAGCUGACGCUGAGGCGCGACAGCGUGGGGAGCAAACAGG